GACACACCUAUGGCACCCUGUGGCAAAAACUUUUUUAAAAGCAAAAAGUCAUCUUGGAGAUCAUUUGUCCAAAUUCUCACUUCACAGAUGGGGAAAGUGGAUUGGGAGAGUUUGGCUGUCUUGGUCACAGCAUAAUCCAAGUAAUUCAACAUUCAUUAAAUAAAUAUAAGCACCUAUUCUACCAGGCACUGUGUAAAGUUCAUUCUACCCUGCCAUGUAAUUAGAUAAAUCCAUUAACAACUUCUAAAGGGUUUUUGAUGAACACUAGAAGCUUAGGAGUAUAUCUUUUUUUAAUGUUGACAACAUGAAAGACAGUUUUGCAGUCCUACAAAACAUGUCCUCAUAUAACCGUCUGAGACAGAACAAAGGCCAGGAUAAACCAUUAGCUAGAUUCAUAUUUGAUUACUCUUAUUUAGUGAUUGGUACUUGCAAUGGUGCCAAAAAAGAAAAAGAAAAAAAGAACUGCUAGCCUAGAUCCCAUUCCCAGCAUGAACAAUGACAAAGACUGCCGGAUAUACUGGGAAAAGCAUCUACAGCGUAUUCUGAUUAAUAAAGAUGUGUUUAUACACUAACAACAACAAAAAGAACUAAAUAACUACCUUGUGUUAUCUAUGCAACAGCUCUCCAUUAGCACAAGUGAGCUGCAGUUAAUGAUCCUACAUACUGUCAUCCCUAGGAUCUGUUCCAUACCCCCAGGAUGGAGAAUGGCCCCAAAGGACUCUUGAAAGCAAAUAUAACAAUAUAAAUUAGUUCCCAGGAAAAAUGGCCAAACCCAUCACAAGAACAGUUGCCCAACAAUUUUUAAAAAGGUUUUUCAUAAGGAAGCAGACCCCGGAGAAUGCUCCCCUCAGUACCAGUGUUCAUUUUCCUCACUGAGUUGCAACCUGCUUGGGUGGAUAAAAAUGAGAUCAUCACUCUACCAUCCAUGUGGAGCAUGCAAGAGCCGAGACUGGAAAUGAAGGUGAGUGCUUUAGGUUUCUAUCUUCAGAGUGAAGGGUGGAGGCUUCAGCCUCUGCUGUUUUGAGGUUCUUAAAAUAAACCUCUUCCAGAACAGUAAGAGCUAGUACAUGGUCUAUUCAACUCUCUGUUCAUUAAGAAGGCAAUAAAUCUUUAGCUUCAUCUUAUUCAGGGGGAAAAUGUUGAUAUGCAUUGAUCUAGUAUGAGAAAGAAUGUGGCUGUUAUACUAAUGAUAAAACUGCAGGUUUGUCACCAGAAGGUGGCUCUAAAAUGCCAGCUACGGUGGCACAGCAGUCACGCAAGGCUCUGUGAUGCUGAUGCCACACGGGAAGGUCUCAAGUUCAUGUACUGUGAUCUCCCCUGUACAUACCAAGUGAUGCGCCUAUGAUCCCACGGAGGCUGGGCACGGAUCAUGACAUGAACUCUGUUAGGAUGCCUAUCUCACUAUUUUCCUCUUGCUUGC